rnacentral:sRNA from 1 species
CGGCUAAUGCAGCAUUAUCCGGGCGAUGAGGCAGCACAGGUUCUCCUGGCGUGUCCUGGUGCGGCAGAUGUUCCCUCCCUCAUCUGCAUGCGAUGCGCCCUCCUAGCCUCGCUUGUCGAUUGACCGGCGAGGCUUUUU